UGCGCAGGCGGAAUGAUUAGUCAGUGGUGAAAGCCCUCGGCUCAUCCGAGGAACUGCCAUUGAUACUGUCAUUCUUGAGUACAGUUGUAGUGGGCGGAAUGUGUCAUGUAGCGGUGAAAUGCAUAGAGAUGACACAGAACACCGAUCGCGAAGGCAGCUCACUAAGCUGAAACUGACGCUCAGGCACGAAAGCGUGGGUAGCAAACAGGAUUAGAUACCCUGGUAGUCC
rnacentral:rRNA from 1 species